CCUACGGGUGGCUGCAGUGGGGAAUAUUGGACAAUGGGCGAAAGCCUGAUCCAGCCAUGCCGCGUGUGUGAAGAAGGCCUUCGGGUUGUAAAGCACUUUCAGUGGGGAAGAAAGCCUUGGGGCUAAUACCCUCGAGGAAGGACAUCACCCACAGAAGAAGCACCGGCUAACUCCGUGCCAGCAGCCGCGGUAAUACGGAGGGUGCGAGCGUUAAUCGGAAUUACUGGGCGUAAAGCGCGCGUAGGCGGUCUGAUAAGCCGGUUGUGAAAGCCCCGGGCUCAACCUGGGAACGGCAUCCGGAACUGUCAGGCUAGAGUGCAGGAGAGGAAGGUAGAAUUCCCGGUGUAGCGGUGAAAUGCGUAGAGAUCGGGAGGAAUACCAGUGGUGAAGGCGGCCUUCUGGACUGACACUGACGCUGAGGUGCGAAAGCGUGGGUAGCAAACAGGAUUAGAUACCCCGGUAGUC
rnacentral:rRNA from 1 species